UAUUAGUAUUUUUAUUAAUAUUAGAUGAUAAAACCGUUUGUCUUAUUUGAAAUUUUUUAUGAUUAGUAUUUUUAUUAUUAUUAGAUGAUAAAACACGAAUAGUAUUUUAUGUUUGACUUAUUUUUUAAAAAAAAUUUAUAAUUUUUUCAAAUAGAUGAAUGGUCAAAUGUUGGAUAUGGAAACUCAUGACUGCAUUUAAA
rfam:Oryza glaberrima chromosome 8 Oglab08_0032_21, whole genome shotgun sequence.